GUAACGGGAAGGAAGUCAGUGUCGGUGACUCUGCUAAGCUAGCGGCGUCACGUUACGUGCGUAUGACGUCAUGCGCCGUCGAUUAGGAAGCGGCUUAUACUUCCGGUUAGGAAAAAACCCGCCCGUGUUCUAUUUGAGAUGAUAUAGCUUUCUAAAAUUCAUACACUAGACGGUGGUGCAGAGUGCAGAGUGAGUACAGACGUUAACAAAAAACAAGACAAAACCCCCCCACACAGUCCUUAGUCUUACAGUCCUUGGUCACAGCUGAUCUGGAGCCUAUCCCUCAGGGCACAGUGCAGGGGACACCCUGGACAGGGUGCCAACCCAACGUAGGGCACACAAUCCCACACACAUUCACACACUACGGACAAUUUGGAAAGCCUACACAGGUUUCCACACAGAUCUAGCUGAUUGCUUGAUUGGUCCCGCUUGGCAGGAAAAUGGCCUGUUGAAGUGUGUGAGAAGCAGGUGCAGGACUUGGCCCCAGCAGCCCCAGCCUGUGGCCACGGCACGGAAUAAUAGCAGCAGUGUUUCUACACAGUGGAGCGCUGUCACAACCAGCCACUUGCAAAAAUACGACACGUUUUUCAUAGACGUGUGCGCCGGGAAGGAGAAGCUCAAAGAUGAGAACGGGUUUCCUUUUGAGUCUGGUUCCUCUCAAGGUUUCUCCCUCAUGCUGUCUCAUGGAGUGUUUGCUUGCCACUGUCACCUCUGCAGAAUGGAACGCCGGUGUACUGUGAGAAACUGUAACUUGUUCUGCCUGCUUCGGUAUGAUGGUAAUGACCGCUGAAGAUGACCUCCAGCUGUCUUGCCUCAAAUGAUGACCGAGCUUCAUCCUAGUUGUAGUUUCAGAUCC
ensembl:lncRNA